GAUGAACGCUAGCUACAGGCUUAACACAUGCAAGUCGAGGGGAAACGAUAUUGGAAGCUUGCUUCCGAUAGGCGUCGACCGGCGCACGGGUGAGUAACGCGUAUCCAACCUGCCCACCACUUGGGGAUAACCUUGCGAAAGUAAGACUAAUACCCAAUGACGUCUCUAGAAGACAUCUGAACGAGAUUAAAGAUUUAUCGGUGACGGAUGGGGAUGGGUCUGAUUAGCUUGUUGGCGGGGUAACGGCCCACCAAGGCUACGAUCAGUAGGGGUUCUGAGAGGAAGGUCCCCCAUAUUGGAACUGAGACACGGUCCAAACUCCUACGGGAGGCAGCAGUGAGGAAUAUUGGUCAAUGGGCGAGAGCCUGAACCAGCCAAGUAGCGUGCAGGAUGACGGCCCUAUGGGUUGUAAACUGCUUUUAUAAGGGAAUAAAGUGAGUCUCGUGAGACUUUUUGCAUGUACCUUAUGAAUAAGGACCGGCUAAUUCCGUGCCAGCCGCCGCCGUAA
rnacentral:rRNA from 1 species